rnacentral:rRNA from 1 species
GUCCGGAUUUAUUGGGCGUAAAGGGCUCGUAGGCGGUUGAUCGCGUCGGAAGUGGAAACUUGAUGCUUAACGUUGAGCGUGCUUUCGAUACGGGUUGACUUGAGGAAGGUAGGGGAGAAUGGAAUUCCUGGUGGAGCGGUGGAAUGCGCAAAUAUCAGGAGGAACACCAGUGGCGAAGGCGGUUCUCUGGACCUUUCCUGACGCUGAGGAGCGAAAGCGUGGGGAGCGAACAGGCUUAGAUACCCUGGUAGUCCACGCUGUAAACGGUGGGUACUAGGUGUGGGGUCCAUUCCACGGAUUCUGUGCCGUAGCUAACGCCAUUAAGUACCCCGCCUGGGGAGUACGGCCGCCAAGGCUAAAACUCAAAGGAAUGACGGGGCCCGCACAAGCGGCGGAGCAUGCGGAUUAAUUCGAUGCAACGCGAAGAACCUUACCUGGGUUUGACAUGGAUCGGGAGCUUCCAGAGAUGGUUGUGCCUCUUUUGGGGUCGGUUCACCAGGUGGUGCAUGGCUGUCGUCAGCUCGUGUCUUGAGAUGUUGGGUUAAGUCCCGCAACGAGCGCAACCCUCGUCCACUGUUGCCAGCAAUUCGGUUGGGGACUCAGUGGAGACCGCCCGGGGUCAACUCGGAGGAAGGGGGGGGAUGACGUCAAGUCAUCAUGCCACUUAUGUCCAGGGCUUCACGCAUGCUACAAUGGCCGGUACAGUGAGUUGCGACAUCGUAAGGUGGAGCGAAUCUCAAAAAGCCGGUCUCAGUUCGGAUUGGGGUCUGCAACUCGACCUCAUGAAGUCGGAGUCGCUAGUAAUCGCAGAUCAGCAACGCUGCGGUGAAUACGUUCCCGGGGCUUGUACACACCGCCCGU